ensembl:lncRNA
UCUUCAAAGUUCAACUUCAUCCAAACUAAAACAAAGCUGGAGAGAUUUCCAAGAGCAAAAUGUCUUUGAAGAGAGUCCACCGCUGUCACCAAGAUUCUCAGAGCAGGAGUUUGCCGUAGAAGUGGACCUAGAAGGAGAAACAGAAGAUCAGGACAAACAGUGCAGUUUUAGUAUAGAACAGUUACUGGAUGAACUGAACAUGCCUGAAGAUCUUCACAGAGAGAUUUCAUCUCUUGUUGAAGGAGAAAUACAGUAUUUUAAUCAAGAAGACGUAAUCAAACACGAUGAUACCAUCAGUGAAAUUUCAGGUAAAGAAAAGGAAAAUGAAGAUGGCUCCUUAAGUGGUAGUUUAGAGAAAGCUGCUGACAUGGAAGAGGAAAAGGAGAAUAUCGACCAAGACAGUGACAAAACUAAUGAUCAAAUGGAACCAGAAUCUCAGGAAUUGUGUUUAAUUCAAGCUCAUUCCCCUGACUCCGAAACUAUAGACGAGGACAUGGGUAAUGAAGAUUCUGGUAUAGCAGUGCCCAUUCAAUCACCUGAGGGUAAUGGUAGUGAUUCAAGUAAAGCAGAGGUUUUAGAAACAUCUGAUAACAACCAGAUGAGUGCAGAGAACAUGCAAGUAAGGGUAAUGCAUGAAGAUUCUGAAUCUGAAAACAAAGAUGAUGAUGGAAAUCGUUCUCCAACAUCAGAACAAAAAAUAACAGAUGUAGCUGUAGAAGAAGUUUCUGAGUUCUCUGAUCACCAAGACAAUAUUUGUGACAGAGAGGACAAUGUAAUGGCACAGAUUAUAGAAGAACAAGACACUGAUGUAGAGGAGGAGGACAGCAUUCAGAACAUCAGGGUAAUUAGCAAGCAAUCAGAUGCUUCAGAACCCGAAGACACAAAUGCCAAAUGCUCAUGUUCAGGAUCAGAAACUGAGUGUGUGCCAUUUUCAGACAGAGAGGCAGCUGAGCUAAAUGAGGACAAUCAGCACAAUACAGUUGAGGACUGCGUCAGAGAGGAAGCUGAACUUUCUGAUUCUGAGGAAACAAUUAGUGAUGGAGGACAUGAACAAGAAAAGAAGUCCAUCUCAUCAGAAUGUAUUUCCAUUCACUCAGAGACAUCAUCACCUCAUUGUGAUACAGAGGGUGAAAGUAGAGAGCAAACGUUAGAAUCAUCCAGCCAAGAAGAUGAUCAGGUGAUGUCUCCUGAUGUCAAAGAUGAAGAUCAACAAGAAGAUGUGCCAGAGAUCUCAGAAGGUGAGGAUCCUGAUCC